rnacentral:lncRNA from 13 species
AAAGAAUGUGUAGAAGUUGGAUCCCUUAUGUACCUUUGGUGGGAAUGUAAAAUGUAGUGCCAUUGUAGAAAACACUAUUGAGGUGCCUCUAAAAAUUAAAAAUAGAAUUACCAUUUGGAUAUAUCCCCACUAGUAGAAUCUACCCGGCAGCGCUACUGCUUGGUAUAUAUCAAAAGUAAUUCAAAGCAGAUUGAGGGAUCAGACUAAAAGAAAAGAUACUUCUGGGGUCAGAAUGGGAGCAUUUCUGUACAGAGGCUUCCCAGCCCACCCGGCCGCAAAAUGGACUGGCACAAUGACUCAGGGCCUUAAGCCCUGGGCCAAUCCAACAAAAGAUUGAAAAUAAGUUACUCAGGGGAGGAUUGAAAAACAAACACCUCUCAUUGAACAAAAAAGGGAGAGGGGAGGAAAUAAGGAAAAGAAUAUAAACUCCAGCCUUACAGGUCAGCAGCAGCAGUAGCCCUUCCGGGUCCCCUUCCCUUAUGCGGAAGCUGGACUCUGCUCUGCCUACUAAACUGCGUCGUUGCUCACUCUUUGUCCAUGAAUUCUGUCCGCCCUGUUACGCUUACCAGGGCAUCAGGGCCAGCUCCUUCAUUCUCUGAAGCCCGCGAGUCCAAGAACCUCGGACUCAACAUCCGCCCACCUUCUUGGGCAAGCCAGCCGAGCCCCUCAUUAUUGCCAAAGACUCCGACGCGUUGAGCAUCCUAUUGCUCUGGAAAAGAUUGUGGUUUUGUUGCAAAGAAGAAGAAUGACAUUUUUGUAGAAGAAAUUUAAAAAAGGAUGUUCUUGACCUAUGAACAAGAUUUACUCACUGUCUUGGAGGCUGUGCUAAGGAGAAUGGAAGAGAGUAAAUAUUCCUUUGGUGUGUGCUCAACCACAGAGCUUCUGUCUGCAGAGGUUAAAAAUUACUACACAGCUUCUUUUACUGGCUUUAUGUCUUUCUCAGUGGAGACACCUGAAUCCAAUUCUAACUGGAGAAGAGACCUGUCAAGAAUGACAGAACCUAUACUGAUGUGA